rnacentral:lncRNA from 1 species
UUUUGCAAGUGAUUUUAUUUUAAAACUGGAACUCGAGUUCUCCGUUUGUUUAACAAGUCCCUUUUUGCUUUUUUAAAUAAAAUUAAUUUAUUCUACAGAACAGUAAACUCUUCCAGACUCUUCCCUAUUUACAAAUGAACAGUUUUGCUUGCAGAUCAUUGCUUCCCCCUCCUUUUCCUAUCCUGUGACGCAGAAAGAGAAAAACCAGCCACCAGCUGAAGGGCUGUAAGGCAGUGCUCCCAGCCACAACCACCUGGCCCCUUGGGACCUCAGUGAAGAACAAGAGCGACCAUGUCUGUGCUGCAUUCAGAGGUCCCCCCUCAUUCACCAUGUGUGUGAAGGAAGCAGGUCCAUGUUAAGCCCAUCAACCAAGAGCAUUUGGCCUCCCCAUGCUGCAUGGGCUCCUCCAAGCUGGGUUUAGCUGUGCUAAGAAAGAUGAAAUAUCCCUGCCAGAGGAAACUGCCCUCUGAAGGGCCAUGCAUGUAGGGAGAAAGUGGCAUUUGCUGCAGGAAUGAGAUCUACCAGCCCUCAACACACACACACCCAUGGGCCAGAAAGGCAGCUCUCACAUUGCAGGAGGUGGCAAGAAGCCUUGGAGAUGCCUGCCCUGCCCUCUUGAACUGGGAGAGACAAGUGACUGUAGUGCUGGGGACAUGCUUUACUAACUCAGGAAAGAAGGCACCUAUUAAAAAAACAUACUGACCCAGCCCAAAACUCCAGGCAAAUUCAAGGGGUUUGAGUGAGGUUGUGGCUUGGCUCGUACCUCUCUUUGCACUAAGUGAUAGCCUUUACCUGGAGACCUUUCCAGACACUUCCAAGUCACCUCACUCAGGUCCUGCUAGCACUGUCACCCAGGCCUGGCAGCCACAUGAGGAGCCAGGAUGAUGGGUAAGACAAGCUGUGUGAGGCAAACCAAGAGGGAAUGUGCAAGCAGUGUGUCUGCAAGCAAAGCUGCCCCGUCAGAGGGUCUCCCACCCCACACGAGGCACACAAUCCUGUAAAACCACCCCAACGCCACAGCAGGUUUCUGCUCUACGCUCUUUUCCAGGGCUCACCUCUAGCAGGGGACCUCCUUUUUCUGCUAUAGAUGCAUGUGGCUGUACUGGAGGAGCAGAAAGCCACCAAGAAGCAUCAACUGGUCCAGUGCUGCUGUAAUCAUCACUGGCAGUGUUUUACAUCUGCCAAGGAGGGACUUCAGCCAUGGGCAAGGGCAAUCCUGUUGGCUGGCUGGCUCCAGGCCCAUUCCUUUUGCUUUUCCUGGGCAUUUCUAUCUCUCCAAGAAGAACCCCAACCUUCAACAACAUCUCACUGCAGAUGUGUAGUGUUUUCAUUCGAGGAGCCCAGCCUGCAGGACAAGGCAGAAGGUUGAACUGAUGCCCUUGUAGAGAGCUUAGGUUUUGAAAAGCAAAGAAGAGAGGGAGGAAGAAAGGAAAAAAGAAGAAAGGU